ACAGAGUCAUUAUGGCUUAAUAGCUGUCACCCUCCCAAGCUAACCUGUGCAACAGGUGUGGAAAGUAAACUUAGAGGCUCACUUGGCAACCCCACAAAUAGGGCUUCACAGCUCUCACCCCAAUGCUCCCAAUGGCCUCUGGUCCCCAGCAUAUGAGCCCCUGCCCCUGUAGACCUAGGGAGAAGCCCUUCUCAGCUCAGCUCACCUGUUUGUAGGCAUCGAGGAGGAAGCUCUUCCAGACGCAGCGCAGUCCCUCUGAGGUCAGCAUGCGCCGCCACUCUCCGCGAGUGGACUUGGAGCGGCUCAACAGCAGCACCACGUGCUUGAGCAGAAUGACCGAGUCAUAGAGAGCCAGGAAGAGGCAGUUGGAGAAAAAAACUGGCAGAAUUUGCAGUGUGAUCAGCAAGUCUACGCUGAGGAUGCCCAUCUUCUCUGCCUCCUGAAGCAGAAAUGGCAAGACUAAGUCCAGUCUCUCCAGCCCAGCAGUUGGAGUGUGCCCAUCAAUUCAUUCAAUUCGGAGCUGCUGCCCUUCCCUAAUCCAGUUACCUCUGUCAGAGUCCGUUAAAGACAGGCAGUUCUACUUUCAUUUCCAAGCACCUAUGAGACUG
rnacentral:lncRNA from 1 species